CCCUGAUGAUUUCCAUGCCCUGCAAUGGGUUGUUAGGCCAUGAUAAUUAGAGGUGGGACAUGAAACCAGGCACAUCCAAUUAUCUCAAUAGUGUCAUUCAUUUUCCCACUGUGCCGCCUCCUAAACCCAUGCCCUCCUAUCCCCUUGGCUUCUUGUAUGUCCCUUCUAUUGACCUCCAUUCCUCUGUGUACCCAUUUGCUUCUUCCCUGAGACUCAAAACAUAAUACCCCCUCCUUGCCUCUUUCUUUUUAAAAUCUAUUGUCCCUUCUCCACUCCCACUCUUCCAGAUCUAGAAUGCCCAUGAAUUUCCAUUCCUCCAAACUCUGCUUCAAAAUCCACAUGCAUCUCUAUCCAUACCAUCAGCAUAAGAAAAAGGAAUGAUUUGUCAAAGGAAAGGAUGGAACACAAUGUACUGAUUCAAACCCCAAUCACUCCAAAAUCUGAAGAAUUACAUAAAAUGAACAUACAUUUCCAAAACAAAACUACGUAGAUGUUACAAUGUUAUAGGAUGUUACAAUCCCACAGUUGCAUCACUAAGUUCUUCUGAUCCAUAAAGUUUGCCAUUAUAAAUAUUGGAUACAUGAGGCUUAACAAAGUAAAUGAAGUCAAUAGUUUUCUCUUAGAACUGAGGCACCAUGGAGUUUCUAGGAGAAUGAUAUCAUUGAAAGUGAGGAAAAAAUAAAAGGAUUUCUUAGAAAACAUAACACAUGCUACCAUAACCAAAGGAAAAAUGAUAAGUUCAGACAUCACAAAUUUCAUCUAGCCUAUCAGUUUCUCCCAAAAGAAUUCUAGAAUCACAAGCACCAAGCUGAUACUGUGGCAGCUGCAGACUAUUUUCUUUUGAGAAUAACUUUUGGAGGUGAUACCAGCCUUUUGGUAAAUCCAAAGCAAGAGGCAUAAAGUGGGAGUGUUGAGCUGGGGUUACAUGUGGGCACAAAAGAAGUUUGAGGCAGAGAGAGAGAGAGAGAGGGAGGAAGAUGGACCAGGGCAUCUUAGGGACAUUAAUGGAGGUGAAAUGUUUUUACAAUGUGAGACGGAUAAUCCACUUACCCAGCAUGUGGCUUAUCAAAGGAUCAAACUUCACAUUAAGCAACAAGAAUACUUCUUUUCUUUGUUAUUG
rnacentral:lncRNA from 1 species